rnacentral:lncRNA from 1 species
GCGAGGCCAGAGCUCAGAGUUCCACGGGGGCCCGGAGAGUGUGCGUGUUCAUUGUUAUUUGAACAAAUGAAAUAAAGACUCCAGAUUCUUAAAACCUUCAAAAUGCCCGAAUGGAAGCCAAGUCAGCUCUUCAGAAAAUGACAGACAUGUCCCCCAGUGUCAUGAUGCUGUGUAAGUCUCCCCUGGACCAACAAGCUCCCCUGGAAGUAAAGGCGAAGGAAAAAUGGGAGGGGCAGCAAUACUUAAACUGAGAUGAGCAAGGGAGGCAGCAACAGUCUGGAGAAACCAGCCAUGGUGUUGGAACCAGAAGAUGAUUAGCAAAUAUAUAUUGAAGACUUUCUAUGUUCAGGCAGCCUUCUUGACACUGGGGAUGCAGCAG